CCCACCUUGUAGGCUGAAAGAGGAAAUGCAGAGCAGGGAUGUGCAAGCUCUGCUUGGCACCGUAAGGAGUUGGCUCGCCAGACCGACUUCCUAAGAGGCUGUGCAGCUCAAGUUGUUUCCUAAAGUGUCAGAAAUAUUUCAGGGCAUCAGCUCAACUGGAAGGGUGGAUCAGGGAAGUGGGUCAGCCCAAGUUCCAGUGAUCAACAUCACUGCUCUAAAUGUCCUGCCAGAGGUCUGACCAGACAGGGAUAUGGAUUGGAUGAACCACAAGGCUGGGCCAAUGUGGACGUCUUCAUCUAGCCUUGGCUGCCAUCUUGUUUGAAGUGGAAGAGAACUCAAUCACUGGAGAAGAGUUUCUUGGUUUAUGCAUCUCUUUUAUAGAGUACGAGAGAGAGAGAGAAAGAGAGAGAGAGGAUGUGUCAAGUCUUGGUGUAGGCAAAUUAUGUGGAAGGACAAAAGAGGGCAGCAUUGGAAAAUGGCACCAAAUGGGCAAGAAACUGAAGCAACCCCUUCUCAGCAAUAUGAAUUUGUCUCACUGAUGACACCCCUUUGCUUUUUUGGCAGUGCUAGGCUUUGAACCUAGGGCCUUGUGCAUGCUAAGCAUGUACUCUGCCACUUAGCCCCAUCCUCAGCCCUACUGGGCCCUCUUGAUGUGGAGUGGUCCCACCCUGGGAGUAUCUCUGCUCAACCUUUAAUGUGGGCCUGGUUGACACAUGCAUACUUUCAGCGCUGCAGACACCUGGCUACCACCUCUGUUUGCUGUGAAGCACCUGAUCAUUCCUCCAGGGAGAAAGCACCAAAGGCCUGCAGGAAGCCAGCAGGUGUACACCCGGCUCAAGGUGAGAGAACGCAACUGGGCUGCGGCUUCUCAGAUUGAUAGAUUGCGUUUCUGUGUGGGUCCGUUUCAUGCUUGGUGACUCCGCAGCAAAGCAAUUAUCACUGUGGAAUGCAUAAUGGCCUAAUUAAUAACUAAUGUCAGGUUGGCCUCUGAGCCAUGAUUAUACCUUAGCAAGCCAACUUUUUUUCCCUUUUAAACAUUCAGAGAGAAAAAUAUUAUUAUAAUUGACUGGUUAAACUGUCAAAGUGUCCCUGCCCAUGGACAUGGGGUGUGGAAGGGCACAAGGCCUGGAACGAGGACUGGGAAUCUGCCCCCAGCUGGCUGUGACCCGGCUCAGCAUCUGAGCACAUCGCACCUGCCCAUCUGCACCUGCGCACAGAGCACCUCUCUGGCCCUGAGCCAUAUGUUGUGUGACUGCUUGGGUUCAAAUCUCUGCAUUCAGGAAAGCAGCUGUGUGAUCCUGGACAAGUUACCUGACCUCUCUGAGCCUCUUCUCAUUUGUAAAUAAUGACCACAGCAAUAUCUACUUCAUCAGCUGGUCAUGGGGGAAAAUGAAUUGGUAUCUGCAAAGCACUCAGAAUGCUGCCUGGAACACAAACAGCUAGUGAUGUCUGCCAAUAUUAUUAUGUGUCAACAGUCACUUAAUAAAUAUUUAUUCUGCA
rnacentral:lncRNA from 1 species